AUCCAGACAACAACGGCUCAACUCAAAACUUCUAAAGGUUCAUCCAUGUACUCCCUUGCCUAUUCUACUCAACCAGUUUCGUUUUAGCAAUUCGUCAAAUUUUCAUGAGCAUUAAACUGCAUAAGAUUUCAUUGUGUAUAAGCAUGUUAUAUGAAAGAAAAAAAAUUGUGAACUUACUUGAUAUAUGCAUACAGUAUAAAUUUCAUGUACUGCAUUUACAAUGGGACAAUAAAAGAGAAAUAGAGAAAUGUUAUGUAUGCUGUAUGAAUCGAACUUGAGUCUUGAGCUUUGUCGGGUGUGGGCUGUGUGGUUGUAAGUGUCGAGUUUGGGGGGAUGAGUCUCCUGUCCUUGUGUGUCCGAGUCAGGGGAGGGAGUGAGACAGCCGGCGGCUGCUCACGGCCGGCAACGGCGCGGCCGCAGGCGCGCUCAGUCCCUGUUCUGCCAGAAAACAAGAGAGGAGAUGAGAGAGUUUAGGAUUUCAGUUUUCAAAUAAAAAAAGAAGAGAAAGGGGAGGACAGAGAGAAAGGGGAGAACUUACCUAUUUCCGGUGGCGACGCGGCGGCAGAAGCACCACGGCUGCUGCUGUCGGCCAAAGGAGAAGGAGAGGCAGGGCAGUGGUGGCGCCGGAUCCGGAAAGGAGGGCGCGGCCGCUGCUGCCCGGCCACGGCUGGAGAGAGAGAAAUCGAGGGAGGCGACGGCGGAUCUGCUGCGAGGACGCCGGAGGCAGCGGCGCUCAGCGGCGGUUGCUCCUGCUGCGUGAAGGAGAGAGGGCUGGGCGGCGCAGCCGCUGGGUGCGUGUGUUGUGUAGGUAGGGGAAAACUAGGGAGAAGAAGAUGGGGGAGAGGGAUGGCGGCGGCGGCGGCCGGCGCUGCUGCCGUCCGCCGGAGAAGAGAAGAAGGUGAGGGAGGGGGAAGGCUGCUGCACAGCAGCAGCUGCGUGUGUGCGUGUGUUUGUGUUGUGAGUGUGACCGAGAGAGAGAGAGUAGGGAAGAAAAGGGGUGGGAUGUUGGGCUUUAGGUUUGGGCUUGAGGGUGGAUUUGAAUUAUGGGCCGAGUCAGUGGGCUUACGAUUUUGGGCCGAUUUUAAUUGAGAAUUUGGGCCGAGUGUUGGGCUUGGUUGUGGGCCGAUUUUCUUUGUUUAAUUUUCAGUUGGGCCUUUAUUUUAUUAAAACAGAUGGGCCUUAUUUAAAUACCACUUGGGCCGAUUUUUUUAAGGAAAAUGUUGGGCCUUAAUUCAAUUAUUUAAUAGAUGGCCCUAUUAUUGUUUAAUUAACUUGGGCUGCCCAUUUUAUAGUGGGCUGCGAAAAUUUUUAAGAAAAAGGGGAGGUCCUUGAUUUAAUUAUUUUAAAUGGGCUGCCAUUAUUUAUUAAUUGGACUUAUAGUAAGGUUUGAAUAAUUUUAUUUAAAGAAUAAUUUGCAUAAUAAUAUUAUUAUUAUUAUUAUGUGCAUAUGCGAUUAAGCAUGAGAUGAUUUGUAUAAUAAUAUUAUAUCAUUAUUAUGUGCAUAUUUUAAGUAAUUACUUACCAUAUGCUAAGUAUGCAUUUGCAUCAUGCAAUAAAAGUAUUUAUGAUUUAAUUGGUUUUAUUUAUAAAUCCAAUUAUUUAAGAAAAUUUAGUAAGAAUAUUGUUGGUGUUCUUAACUCAAGAGAAAUAUUUUCAAGUAUUUAAUUAUUUAUUCAUUAAAAACCCGGCUAAGUGAAUCAUAGAAUGUUAAGCACUACACCAUGACUUAAGAUUAGAUUCAAGGAGACCUAUUAAGAAUAGAAUUUCUUGUAGGCUUUGUGGACCAAGGGGAUUAGCACUGUUUUCCCAAGACAGGUUAUGUGAUUAUGAUCUUCAGGCUUUGCCUAUCCAGGUGGGCAUUACUUUUACUAUACGUAUAUAGAGAUCCCCUGCGUGUCGUAGGCCUCUUAUACGAAUAUAUGCAUGAGAUGAUUUUAACUGUUAAUUUCAGUUUAUUAUUAUGCCCAAAUGAUAAAUGACUCUUAUGAAAUGAAAAUGAAAUGUUUAUGAAAUGAAAUGAAAUGUUUAUGAAAUGAUUGACUGCCAAAAAUGUUUAUGUUUUUAUAUGUAUCCUAUCUGUGUUGGUUCGCCAACUUUGAAGGAAAUCCAAUUGGGAUCCUAUGCUAGACAAAGGUCGCUAGCUAGGGUUAACGUGUACACUUAUGGAGACCGCGAGUCGCUUGCGACCGGUCUUGGCGUCCGUGGUAAGGAGGCCUCCUUCCCGGCGCGUGACAGAAAGGAACAGAUAUGGAUCAUAUGAAGGAAAAUGAUCGGCCGAUCGACUUUAUGAAAAUGAAAGAAAUAUUUUAGUAAGCGCAGGUCAUUUAAGAAAACCCCUGUGUGUUACUGUUAUGGCAGUUCAAUUUAUAUAUGUAUGCAUGUCGUAUUUUCGGCUAUGCCCACUGAGUAUUUUUAUACUCAGCCCUGCAUGUAUUUCUAAAUGUGCAGGUUGAGCAGUUGAUGGAAUGGAAUGAUGUUGAGCGGGUGUUCCUUUGACAUUUCAAGAAAUGUAACCUUGAGUAUACAUCUUCAUAUGUAUAUCUCACACGUUUUCCGCUGCAAAACACUUUGAUUAGGAUAACUUCAUGUUAUGAAGUUGGGAUACGUGUUAUUGGGUAACCCACCUUAAU
rnacentral:lncRNA from 1 species